CAGCCGCCGCGGGAAUACAGAGGGUGCGAGCGUUAAUCGGAUUUACUGGGCGUAAAGCGCGCGUAGGUGGUUCGCCAAGUUGGAUGUGAAAUCCCCGGGCUCAACCUGGGAACUGCAUCCAAAACUGGCGAGCUAGAGUAUGGUAGAGGGUGGUGGAAUUUCCUGUGUAGCGGUGAAAUGCGUAGAUAUAGGAAGGAACAUCAGUGGCGAAGGCGACCACCUGGACUGAUACUGACACUGAGGUGCGAAAGCGUGGGGAGCAAACAGGAUUAGAUACCCCGGUAGUCCCUGUCUCUUAUAU
rnacentral:rRNA from 1 species